AGCAGCCGCGGUAAUUCCAGCUCCAAUAGCGUAUAUUAAAGUUGCUGCAGUUAAAAAGCUCGUAGUUGAAUUUCGGGACUAAUAUGUCGGUCGUGCCUCGGUACGUACUGGCUUAUUGGUUUCUCCUUUCUGAAGAACCAUGAUGUCAUUUAUUUGGUGUCGUGGGGAAUCAGGACUGUUACUUUGAAAAAAUUAGAGUGUUUAAAGCAGGCUCACGCUUGAAUACAUUAGCAUGGAAUAAUGAAAUAGGACGUUUGAUUCUAUUUUGUUGGUUUCUAGGAUCGACGUAAUGAUUAAUAGGGAUAGUUGGGGGCAUUAGUAUUCAAUUGUCAGAGGUGAAAUUCUUGGAUUUAUUGAAGACUAACUACUGCGAAAGCAUUUGCCAAGGAUGUUUUCAUUAAUCAAGAACGAAAGUUAGGGGAUCGAAGACGAUCAGAUACCGUCGUAGUCUUAACCAUAAACUAUGCCGACUAGGGAUCGGAUGAUGUUAAUUUUUAAUUGUACUCAUUCGGCGUCCG
rnacentral:rRNA from 1 species